rnacentral:rRNA from 1 species
GAUCCUGGCUCAGAUUGAACGCUGGCGGCAUGCCUUACACAUGCUAGUCGAGCGGCAGCGCGGGGGCAACCCUGGCGGCGAGCGGCGAACGGGUGAGUAAUGCAUCAGAACGUGUCCUCUUGUGGGGGAUAACCAGUCGAAAGACUGGCUAAUACCGCAUGAGAUCGAAAGAUGAAAGCGGGGGAUCGCAAGACCUCGCGCGAGAGGAGCGGCCGAUGCCGGAUUAGCUAGUUGGUGGGGUAAAGGCCUACCAAGGCGACGAUCCGUAGCUGGUCUGAGAGGACGACCAGCCACGCUGGGACUGAGACACGGCCCACGCUCCUACGGGAGGCAGCAGUGGGGAAUUUUGGACAAUGGGGGCAACCCUGAUCCAACCAUGCCGCGUGUGUGAAGAAAGCCUUCGGGUUGUAAAGCAUUUUCGGACGGAAAGAAUUCGCACGGGUGUACACUCCGCGUGGAUGACGGUACU